GUUCGUACCCGGCUUGAUAAAUUUUUGGUGAAAUCCCCCAUCUUAAGUGUGGGAAUUCCGGGGGAUACUUUUUGGCUUGGGGCCGGGAGAGGUGGGAGGUACUCCCGGGGUAGGGGUGAAAUCCUGUAAUCCCGGGAGGACCACCUGUGGCGAAGGCGUCCAGCUGGAACGGACCUGACGGUGAGGGACGAAAGCCAGGGGCGCGAACCGGAUUAGAUACCCGGGUAGUCCUGGCCAUAAACGAUCUGGACUAGGUGUUGGGCCGGCUUCGAGCCGCCCCAGUGCCGAAGGGAAGCCGUUAAGCCCGCCGCCAGGGAAGUACGGCCGCAAG
rnacentral:rRNA from 1 species